rnacentral:misc_RNA from 1 species
GAACAAUGCAAGAUAAAUACUAUUCCUCAUCAAUGAAAAUAUCAAAUCAAAAGCCAAAACCAAAAACCAUACGAGGAUGAGAAUGCUAAAAGGAAACAGAGGCAAAAGCAAUCAUGUUGCAACUUGGCAGCCUACUUGGGUAUAUCCCCUUCAUAUUUUUUUAGAAGCUGACAUGAAAAGACACCUAAGCAGUCACAAACCAAAGAAGCAGUGAAAUAGAAAAACCUUCAAAGGAGAGAGAUUUUGAAAAAUUGAAGUGAAAGAAAAGAGGCAUUGAGGGCAAACCAGUGAAAUCAUAAAAGUAACAAAUCUGCAGUAUCAUACAAAAUCUAAGAUUUAUCUGAGGUUUUGGACAUGAGAUCUAAGAAGAAUGUGCUCUAAAUAACAAGACAUGACAUUUUCAGCAUCCUGUAGUUGCUCUUGCCUUGGUUGUCAUAUGACCAUUGGCAAGCGAUUCUGUUAUUCAUUUUCCAUGUUAAUCAUAG